rnacentral:rRNA from 1 species
AUGAACGCUGACAGAAUGCUUAACACAUGCAAGUCUACUUGAACUUCGGUUUGGGUGGCGGACGGGUGAGUAACGCGUAAAGAACUUGCCUCACAGAUAGGGACAACAUUUGGAAACGAAUGCUAAUACCUGAUAUUAUGAUUUUAGGGCAUCCUAGAAUUAUGAAAGCUAUAUGCACUGUGAGAGAGCUUUGCGUCCCAUUAGCUAGUUGGGGAGGUAACGGCUCACCAAGGCGAUGAUGGGUAGCCGGCCUGAGAGGGUGAUCGGCCACAAGGGGACUGAGACACGGCCCUUACUCCUACGGGAGGCAGCAGUGGGGAAUAUUGGACAAUGGACCAAGAGUCUGAUCCAGCAAUUCUGUGUGCACGAUGAAGUUUUUCGGAAUGUAAAGUGCUUUCAGUUGGGAAGAAAAAAAUGACGGUACCAACAGAAGAAGUGACGGCUAAAUACGUG